UUGGAGACGAUAUAGUGAUUGUGGCGCUUACCGGACUCCAAUUUGCAAAGCUAAGUGAGGAGGGUUUAAGGAUACUCCAGCUAAUGAUUUACUUGCAGUUGUUUUAAAGGCCAUGAUAGAGAAAACAAAUCUGGACCCAAGUGAAGUUGGGGAUAUAGUUGUUGGUACUGUUUUGCCACCUGGUUCAUAAAGAGCAAUAUAGUGCAGAAUGGCAGCAAUCUAUGCUGGUUUUCCUGGUAAG